GUGGAUACAGCAAUUUUAUCUCCACGGGCAGAGUUGCAAUAAGCCUGUUUACAUACUGACACCAACAACAUAGCAUUAGGUAUCUCUAUAACCAUCUGUGCUCGCAUGCUAAGUUGCUACAGUCGUGUCCGGCUCUUUGCGACCCCAUGGACUGUAGCCUGCCAGGAUCCUCUGUCCAUAGGAUUCUCCAGGCAAGAAUACUGGAGUGGGUUGCCAUUUCCUCCUCCACAGGAUCUUCCCAACCCAAGGAUUGAACUUGUGUGUCCUGAGGCUCCUGCAUUGCAGGGAAGAACCCAUUAUAAAGGUUGUGUUAAUUCUGGGAUCAGAUCACUAUAUCCUGAUCAGGCAUCUGGAAAAUGGGAACGAGGUUGGUUCUGGAUCAUUCACUACUGUUUCCCCAGUGUGAAGAGGCUGACACUUAACAAAAGGU
ensembl:lncRNA